rnacentral:rRNA from 1 species
GAUGAACGCUGGCGGCGUGCCUAAUACAUGCAAGUCGAGCGAAUGGAUUAAGAGCUUGCUCUUGUGAAGUUAGCGGCGGACGGGUGAGUAACACGUGGGUAACCUGCCCAUAAGACUGGGAUAACUCCGGGAAACCGGGGCUAAUACCGGAUAACAUUUUGAACCGCAUGGUUCGAAAUUGAAAGGCGGCUUCGGCUGUCACUUAUGGAUGGACCCGCGUCGCAUUAGCUAGUUGGUGAGGUAACGGCUCACCAAGGCAACGAUGCGUAGCCGACCUGGGAGGGUGAUCGGCCACACUGGGACUGAAACACGGCCCAGACUCCUACGGGGGGCAGCAGUAGGGAAUCUUCCGCAAUGGACGAAAGUCUGACGGAGCAACGCCGCGUGAGUGAUGAAGGCUUUCGGGUCGUAAAACUCUGUUGUUAGGGAAGAACAAGUGCUAGUUGAAUAAGCUGGCACCUUGACGGUACCUAACCAGAAAGCCACGGCUAACUACGUGCCAGCAGCCGCCGUAA